AAGUUAAUAAUUUGUCCAAUAUACCAGAGCUGUUUUGUUUGCUAAAAAAACUGAGCCUAAGUUUAAAUCUAAAGGCUCUACUAUCUGUACCUUGCAAGAGACCAUGUCAUAUCACUGUUAGAACUAAUGUGCAGGCUCUGCUCAUGACUCUAUCCAUAAAAAAUUUUGUAAUAAAAGCAGAGAAAACUAGAGUUCUUUAAAUACACUGUGUUAGAAAACUAUACAUUUGUAAAUACACUAUUCUAAGAAGCUUAGGGUUCAUUUUCCUAACACAUCAUUGAUUGGAUAUAAUAUUCCAAAUUAUAUCAUCUCUUACAAAUAGUUCUUCUAAAUAUAUUCAUUCUCAAUAGGACAAUAAAAAAACAAAGAAAACAUAAAACCAAUUGAACUAUGCAUAUGAUAAAAAUUAAACAUGCUUUGCCAUUAAAUUUUGACAAACUAGCAUGACCUUGGAAGUGUCAUUUUUUUUCUGGUACUUAUAAUUCAGGAGAAUUCUACAGAGCGUUGGUCAGCAUGAAUUUGAAAUUAUAUCACAAUCUGUGGGCAAGUUCCUAAGCCUCUCUGAGCUGUGGUUUUUUUACCCAUAAAAUACAUGGCUGAGAGCUCUCUCUGCUUGAUUUUAAGGAUUAAAGUUUUAGAGUAAGAUUAUUUAAGAAUUUGUGUGGAUUAUGUACCUGAGAAAAUUAGAUUCUGUCAUAAGGAAGUUUUUUAUAUUUUUAAUUCUACCUCUUUCUCAUUUAUUUGCAUUCAAAAUAGUUUUAUCUAUAAUAAUCUAUAAAGUAGUAAUUCUCAUGUAAAACAAAAAAUGGCAAAGAAUUUGUGCUACAAAGUUACUUAAAGAAAAAUAAGAAGUAUUUUUCUGUACAGAUUAAAUAAUCAAAUUCAAUUUUAUGAUUUCUAUAAGCCAAUCUUACACUAUUCCCACACUAUUCUUGUUAUACUAGCAGAGACAACUUGUAAAUUUCCAACUUCUUUUUUUGUUUUUGCCAGUCCUGGGGCUUGGACUCAGGGCCUGAGCAUUCACUGUCCCUGGCUUCUUUUUGCUCAAGGCUAGCACUCUACCACUUGAGACACAGCGCCACUU